AUGACUUUGAAGAUUUGCUGACAGAAAAAAAAACUCCCACAGUAUUUUGGCUCCACUGAGACAGUGUUUAUACUCCGCCCUUCUCAUCCCAAAGGGAACUCAGAGCGGAUUACAGAACACACAUACGGCAAACAUUAAAUGCCGAUCAUACAAUUAAC
rnacentral:lncRNA from 11 species